UAGAGUAUAUAUUGAUGAUUUUUAGUCAUACGUUUAUCAGUAAUUUCUGAUAUACUCUAA
rnacentral:tRNA from 1 species